rnacentral:rRNA from 1 species
UACGUAGGGGGCAAGCGUUAUCCGGAUUUACUGGGUGUAAAGGGAGCGUAGACGGCGCGGCAAGUCUGAAGUGAAAGCCCGUGGCUCAACCGCGGAACUGCUUUGGAAACUGUAUAGCUUGAGUACUGGAGAGGCAGGCGGAAUUCCUAGUGUAGCGGUGAAAUGCGUAGAUAUUAGGAGGAACACCAGUGGCGAAGGCGACCUGCUAGAACAUAACUGACGCUGAUGCGCGAAAGCGUGGGGAGCAAACAGG